UACAGAGGGUGCGAGCGUUGUCCGGAAUCACUGGGCGUAAAGGGCGCGUAGGCGGCUUUUCAAGCGUGCGGUGAAAGCUCGGGGCUUAACUCCGAGUCUGCCGUGCGAACUGGGAGGCUUGAGUCUGGUAGAGGUCGAUGGAAUUCCGGGUAUAGCGGUGGAAUGCGUAGAGAUCCGGAAGAACACCGGUGGCGAAAGGCGGUCGACUGGGCCAGUACUGACGCUGAGGCGCGACAGCGUGGGGAGGCAAACAGG
rnacentral:rRNA from 1 species